CCCUUAGAUGUUCUGGGCCGCACGCGCGCUACACUGACGAUGGCAACGAGUUUUUCCUUCGCCGAAAGGUGUGGGUAAUCUUUUGAAACAUCGUCGUGCUGGGGAUAGAUCAUUGCAAUUUUUGAUCUUGAACGAGGAAUUCCUAGUAAGCGCGAGUCAUCAGCUCGCGUUGAUUACGUCCCUGCCCUUUGUACACACCGCCCGUCGCUACUACCGAUUGAAUGGUUUAGUGAGGACUCCUGAUUGGCGCCGCCGCCCCGGCAACGGAGCAGCGGACUGCCGAAAAGUGGUUCAAACUUGAUCAUUUAGAGGAAGUAAAAGUCGUAACA
rnacentral:rRNA from 1 species